GAUGAACGCUGGCGGCGUGCCUAAUACAUGCAAGUCGAGCGAACGGACGAGAAGCUUGCUUCUCUGAUGUUAUCGGCGGACGGGUGAGUAACACGUGGAUAACCUACCUAUAAGACUGGGAUAACUUCGGGAAACCGGAGCUAAUACCGGAUAAUAUUUUGAACCGCAUGGUUCAAAAGUGAAAGACGGUCUUGCUGUCACUUAUAGAUGGAUCCGCGCUGCAUUAGCUAGUUGGUAAGGUAACAGCUUACCAAGGCAACGAUGCAUAGCCGACCUGAGAGGGUGAUCGGCCACACAGGAACUGAGACACGGUCCAGACUCCUACGGGAGGCAGCAGUAGGGAAUCUUCCGCAAUGGGCGAAAGCCUGACGGAGCAACGCCGCGUGAGUGAUGAAGGUCUUCGGAUCGUAAAACUCUGUUAUUAGGGAAGAACAUAUGUGUAAGUAACUGUGCACAUCUUGACGGUACCUAAUCAGAAAGCCACGGCUAACUACGUG
rnacentral:rRNA from 1 species